ACCUUCCUUGUCUUGGGGUGACGCGGGUUGUUCAAUGAGCGUAUAGCGAGAACGACUCUGCUAACACCAUACCAACACAUUACGCAUCACCUGAGCUUUAUGUUCAGGCUAUGGUGCAAUUUUUGGAACC